rnacentral:rRNA from 1 species
UACGGAGGGUGCAAGCGUUAUCCGGAUUCACUGGGUUUAAAGGGUGCGUAGGCGGAUAGGUAAGUCCGUGGUGAAAUCCUGCAGCUUAACUGCAGAACUGCCGUGGAUACUAUCUAUCUUGAAUGCCGUGGAGGUUAGCAGAAUAUGUCAUGUAGCGGUGAAAUGCUUAGAUAUGACAUAGAAUACCCAUUGCGAAGGCAGCUAACUACGCGAUAAUUGACGCUGAUGCACGAAAGCGUGGGGAUCAAACAGG